rnacentral:lncRNA from 1 species
AGCUGGUGGACUGGUGAUCAUUGUAGAACACUUUUGGACUUUAAACUUAAAAUAUUUAAAAAACUGAAGCAAAUUUUAAAAAGAGAGUACAUUUGGUCUGUUUGUCAGAUCUACAUGUACCUGUUUUGGUACAUCCGAAGUUCCGGGAACAAGUUCUUUCUAUAAUGCAUGUAAGGUAUGUUGAUUUUUUCAGUAAAAGAUACCAUAAAGUGUUGCUUUGACAUGCAAUGAUUUCCACUUAAUAUGAACUUAAAAUGAAAGAGGUGUGCCUGGUUGAAAUGGAGGAAUUUUACAUAGAAAGUAAUGGGACAAUAAAUUAGUGGUGUACUUCCUAGACUUCUAUUUGUAUUCCUUUUUAAAAGGUCUGAAUAGAGUGAAAAAAGGCAUUACAAAAUGUUCAUCUUAGCCCCACCUAAAAAUGCGGAUUGGAUUUCUUUUUGUUGUCAUGUUCAAGACGUAUCAUUGGUCUUGUUGAAAACACACUCAUGAACC